UUUAUUUGCCUAAUGAUGGAAAACUCAUUCAUGGAGCGGUUCUGUGGAUUGUUAUUAGGAGCCUUCUCUAUCAUUUUCCUGUACUAGUUGCUGUCACCAUCAACACCACUCUCCCUCUCUCCCUCUCUCUCUCUCUCUCUCUCUCCCUCUCUCUCUCUCUCUCUCUCUCGCCCUCUCUCUCUCUCUCUCGCCCUCUCUCCCUCUCUUGCUUGUAUGGUUGAAGAUGUGAAGAGGUUCAUAGUGAUAAUCCACAGUUAACUGGCAAUGACCAGAUAUAGCUAUGAGAUCUGAAGGCUCUUCGAAUUUUUUCCUUUUUUAUUCUUUAGAUAUGCUUGUUGAAUUUUAAAUUAUUUUUGUUCCUUUAGUUAUUUCAAUAGACAUUUGCUUUUCUGGUCAUUGCAGUAUUGUAGACAUUAUCUUUGGUUUAACUGAAGAGCACUUUGGGCAUUGCAGUAUUGUGAUUACUAUAAAUGCACUGUUACUUUUGUAUUGAUUUCAAAUUUUCUGUUAAUAGAAAACCAAAUAGCACUUUCGGAAUUGCAGUAUUUUUGUAUAUAAGGCGAGCUCCCUUCGGAGUCAAACCGCUUGUAGAUUGUUUCAUAUAAAGCUAAUAAACCAUUGUCCGGAAACUAUUGUUGUAGAUUGUUUUAGUUGAAAGAUGGUUAUAGAUUUUUUAGUAACUUUAUCUUCUGGUUCAAAUAUGAUGCUCAUCGAUGGAAAAUUCAAAACAUAAAUAGCGGUAGGCAUGGUUGAUUCUUCAUUAGCCCGUACUAACCACAAGCACCACCUCUCUCUCUCUCUGUGUUAUGGGAUUGUGGGGAAUGAUGAUACAUGCAAUGGUCUCUGAGCAGUUUAUAAGUGCAAUUGUCGUUGGAAAUGCAGCCUAGAAAGCUAUUUAUGACCCCUGGAGUAAUUAUACUUUGGUGAUGUUUCAUGUUAUUAUUGUCAUCAUUCAAUUAACUAAUUGUGUUGCAAUGGAAAUUACUGGUCAAGAUUUUUUUCAAGGUCAGAUGUUAGUAAAGCGCAAUCCCUUGAAGUAGUGAUUCUGUGCUAAUGGUGAGCUCUAUUGUCUUUAGUCUGUUUCUUUUUCUUGAAUUAUUUUGCUGCCCCUCAAAGGUGGUUCAGUUUUUAUUUGCCUAAUGAUGGAAAACUCAUUUUUGGAGCGGUUCCGUGGAUUGUUAUUAGGAGUCUUUUCUAUCAUUUUUGCUGUACAAGUCGCCGUCGUCAUUACCAACCCAUCCUCUCUCUCUCUCUCUCUCUCACUCUCCUCUUCUUUCUUUUUCUCUCGCUCUCUCUCUCUGUGGCUUGUAUGGUUUAAGAUGUGAACAGGUUCGUUGUCAUAAUCCACGGCUAACUGGCAAUGACCCGAUAUAGCUAUGAGAUCUGAAGGCUCUUAACAGUGUUGUACACUUUAUCUCUGGUUUAACUGGAGCAUUUUGGGCAUUGCAGUACAAAUCUGUGUAAUGUUUGUUGUGUUUUAUGUUUACAAAGCGACGUGCUAAAUUACUCUUUUUUUUAUUCUUGCUUGUACGAUUGAAGAUCUGUUGAGGUUUAUAAUUGAGCUUGUGACCGUGAUGACUAGAUACAUAUUUUCAUGGCUAUUUGAAUUUAUUGCUAUA